UACGUAGGGUGCAAGCGUUGUCCGGAAUUAUUGGGCGUAAAGGGCUCGUAGGCGGUCCGUCACGUCGGGAGUGAAAACUUGGGGCUUAACCCCAAGCCUGCUUCCGAUACGGGCGGACUAGAGGUAGGCAGGGGAGAACGGAAUUCCUGGUGUAGCGGUGAAAUGCGCAGAUAUCAGGAGGAACACCGGUGGCGAAGGCGGGUCUCUGGGCCGAUACUGAUGCUGAGGAGCGAAAGCGUGGGGAGCGAACAGG
rnacentral:rRNA from 1 species